ACGCACGCUGGCGGCGUGCUUAACACAUGCAAGUCGAACGGAAAGGCCUGCUUUCCCUUGUGGAUUGCGGGUACUCGAGUGGCGAACGGGUGAGUAACACGUGAGUGAUCUGCCCCCAACUUGGGUAUAAGCCUGGGAAACUGGGUCUAAUUCCCGAUAGGACUGCAGGGUGGUGCCUGUGGUGGAAAACGAUUUUCUAGUGGUUGGGGAUGAGCUCGCGGCCUAUCAGCGUGUUGGUGGGGUAAUGGCCUACCAAGGCGGCGACGGGUAGCCGGCCUGAGAGGGUGGACGGCCACAUUGGGACUGAGAUACGGCCCAGACGCCUACGGGAGGCAGCAGUGGGGAAUAUUGCACAAUGGGCGGAAGCCUGAUGCAGCGACGCCGCGUGGGGGAUGACGGCCUUCGGGUUGUAAACUCCUUUCGACCGCGAGGAAGCCACCUGGUUGGAAGGGUGGUGACGGUAGUGGUAGAAGAAGCACCGGCUAACUACGUG
rnacentral:rRNA from 1 species